AGACCUCACCCUGCCCUGCCGUGCGCUCAACAGCCAGAUGCUGGGCCCAGACAAGCGCUCUUCCGCUAGUGUGCCGGGAUGAGCGGGGGCUGGACUUCUAGAAAGGGGUCUGCGGGCGCAGGAGCUGGGGUCCGCGGUCUGGGGCCGCCAACACAAGCCAUCAGCCCCAUGCUCAGCUCCCAGCAGGCAGAGCGUUCAGAAGCGCCAGCGCCAUCAUCUUGGGAGCCUGCAGUCCACACACCGCUGACCUUACCUACUUCCUCUUUCCAGGUCGUAGAUUACAGACUCUCCUCUGGGAAAUUGCCCCCAGAUCUAACAGGAGUACAAGAAGCUGGGUAGAUUGGAAAACAGCACCGAAUUCCCCUGGAACUGAGGACGGAAGCCUUCCCAGUCCUGCAGCCACCUGCAGACUCUCACAAGCACGGUGCUCCCGGGAGAAGACCUUGCUACCCCAGGCCCAAGGCAGUCGAGAGAAAACGGGAAGCCCUGAAGGUUUUUCACCCCGGGGGUGAGAGUGUAUGAUCGAAGAUAUAUUUGAGGGAAGGCAGCCAGAGGAGGGCACAGUGUGGAAGAACUCAACUUUUUAAAGACAGAGAUCAGCUUUAAAUAUUGCUAAGAAAGAACUUGGAGAGAGAAGUUGGUGAUACCGGAGACAGCAGGCAACAGACAGAGUGAGAGGCCCGAAGAACAAGAGGAGGAGGGAGUCUCUUCUGGGAGCAGAAGGAGUGUCGACUUAAAUAUUAGGGAGCCAAAGAUGAACCUCGCAGAGAACCUGCAAAACCCAGUUGCAGAAAUACCUGCCCACACCUAAAAACUCAGUCACUGAAAGUCUGAAGUCAAAUGAUUAUGUGAAAUCUUAGUAGUGGGUACAUGUGGUUUCAUUAGAUUAUUCUUUGUAUCUAUAUUUGUACUAUCUUAUAAGCACUAUAAGUUUUAAAACCAUACAAGAGGCUCUAUGGAAAAUAAAUUGGACUUCAUUAAAAUUCAAAACGUGUGCAUCAAAAGACACUGUCAAGAGAAUGAAAAGACAACCCAUAUGAUGGGAGAAAAUCACGUAUCUGACAAAGGUCUACAAUCCAGAACAUAUUAAAAAACUCCUACAAUUCAACAAUGAAAGACCGCCACCCAGUUUUAAAAUGGAAAAAGGACUUGACGUUUCCCCAAAGAUGUGCUCGUGACGAAUGAGCAUGUGAAGAGAUGCUCACUGUUGGCCGGGCGCGGUGGCUCACGCCUGUAAUCCCAGCACUGUGGGAGGCGGAGGUGGGCGGAUCACCUGAGGUCAGGAGUUUGAGACCAGCCUGGCCAACAUGGUGAAACCCCGUUUCUACUAAAAAUAGAAAAAAUUAGCCAGGUGUGGUGGCAGGCGCCUGUAAUCCAGCUACUCAGGAGGCUGAGGCUGGAGAAUUGCUUGAACCUGUGAGGCAGAGGUUGC
rnacentral:lncRNA from 1 species